CUCCAAUGCUGGGCUCCAACAUCUUGAAAAUGUAAUGGCCGCUAUACACAUCCUUCUGGUCAAUCAACUUCAUGCUGAAUUAGGGCAAAUCUUCUGCCAAUUUAUCACCCAGUUAACGUGGCCGCUUAUACAUUGCAUUCUUUGACGAGUAUUAAGCUACCUUUUCCCCCAGCUAAACAGGAUUAACACGACAUGAUUAUAGUGUGCAGGUAUUCUUUAUAUUGCCAGCUUUGUUGGACGUAUAAAUACAACUUUAACACGGCGAAUCAUUGGCGAAUAAACGUACAACUAUACAGUUUUUUUCCCCGUGUCUGGCAAGGACAAUGCCUGGAAUGGCUGAAUAUAUUCAUGCUCGCUCUUUCAAAACAACUAUUUUAAAUAUUUUUGCCACAUGGGACCAACCAAACAAUGUACUGUAAGUAUGUAUAUUGUCUCCCUGUAAAUCCCGCAACGAC